UGUAGCAGCAGAUGCUCUUGCUGUUGUGAAUUUAAGUUGAAUGUAAAAUAUGAUCAACGGCAUUAUUACUCUUGAAGUAAAAAGAAAAGGUAUCACUACUGCUGCUACCAUUCUCUUGGUUUGGUAGCUGUUGUGUGUGCUCUUUGUCAAUCAUUUUGUGAUAACUGACAUGCACUAAAGAGAGACAGGGACAGAAAGGGUACUACCAGUAACAUCUAUACUAUUGGGAUUUUGUUUUCUUCUCUCUCUCAAACCAAGUUAAUUUUGAUGUGCUAUAGGUAAUGAUAGCUAAAGAUAAAUAAUACUUUCAAAUUCAAAUAUAAUUUCUUUUCACACUAUUUCUUUUCUUCCCUGUAAAUUCACAGGGGAAAUAUCCACACAGAACAAAAGAGGAAAUGAAGGAGAAUGAAACUAGAUACACAAACUACUCUUGUAUGCAAAUGGAACGUGUUUUCUUCAAAUAUGUUUCAGUUAAAGUAAUCUUAGCAUUUUGCUUGUAAUAAUCAUGAAUUAAAAACUUUUAGAGAGGGGUUUGUUGUUGGGGAGUUUUUUUGUUUGUUUUGUUUGUUUGGGUUUAGGUUUGUUUGUUUUAGGUUUUUCUCUCCCAUAAGUUCAGUGUUGUUGCUUUAAAUAGCAUGACUGCCUGGUGUCCCCUCAUAAAGAAUAACAGCAGCUCUUAAAGGGACACUGUCAGUUUCAACCUCUGUCUCUCCCUCCUUCUUUGAUCUCUCUCUCUGCCUUUUUUUUUUUAACCUUUACUUUCAUAAUUUUUGAAAAUUAUAUUCUGGCACAUUUUAUAGUUUCUCUUUAGGGCAUUUUUCUCUUUCCUGGCUAAAGAUAAUAAUCAAGAACCUCUUUGCUGAUGUUAUUCCUAAAGCAUAUCUCACUCAGAGGAAUCCUGUGCUCAUACAGAAAGGAUUAUCUGAGCCAAGACCCUUCAUUGUCCUCAAUUUGGAAUUUCCAUUUUCAUUUACAAAAUGUUAUGGUUCAUCUGUCCAUCUGCAGUGAACACUGUCAUCUGCAUCAGUGUCACUGAUGAACGUUUGCCAGCUUGAGUUUGCAGGAAAAAACUCAGUGUGAACUGUCCAACUCUCUAACCCCAUUAUUACAAAUUAUUUGAAAACCUGA